UACGUAGGGGGCGAGCGUUGUCCGGAAUCAUUGGGCGUAAAGCGCGUGUAGGCGGCCCGGUAAGUCCGCUGUGAAAGUCCAGGGCUCAACCCUGGGAUGCCGGUGGAUACUGUCGGGCUCGAGUCCGGAAGAGGCGAGUGGAAUUCCUGGUGUAGCGGUGAAAUGCGCAGAUAUCAGGAGGAACACCAAUGGCGAAGGCAGCUCGCUGGGACGUGGACUGACGCUGAGACGCGAAAGCGUGGGGAGCAAACAGG
rnacentral:rRNA from 1 species